rnacentral:rRNA from 1 species
GAUGAACGCUAGCGGCAGGCCUAAUACAUGCAAGUCGAACGGUGUAGCAAUACACAGUGGCGCACGGGUGCGUAACACGUAUGCAACCUACCUUACAUUGGGGGAUAGCCUUUCGAAAGGGAGAUUAAUACCGCAUAAGACAGCAACUGGGCAUCUAGUAGCUGUUAAAGAUUUAUCGAUGUAAGCUGGGCAUGCGUCCAAUUAGUUAGUUGGUGAGGUAACGGCUCACCAAGACGAUGAUUGGUAGGGGAACUGAGAGGUCAAUCCCCCACACUGGCACUGAGAUACGGACCAGACUCCUACGGGAGGCAGCAGUAGGGAAUAUUGGGCAAUGGGCGCAAGCCUGACCCAGCCAUGCCGCGUGCAGGAAGAAGGCGUUAUGCGUUGUAAACUGCUUUUAUACAGGAAGAAACGACCCUUGCGAGGGGCAUUGACGGUACUGUAUGAAUAAGCACCGGCUAACUCCGUGCCAGCCGCCGCGGUAAGAC